UAGUAGGCAUUAACCAUUACCUUGGUCUUAGUUUUCCCCCAAAAUCAGUUUCCCAAUUUCAAAUUAGGUUUCACCAAAAUCAGUUUUCCUCCCCAAUCGUUUGAUAUUCUCGCUCCUUCCUAAUCUUCAAUCAAUUUUGUUCCCCAAAUUGCGAUAACUGUUCUCUUCCCCUCUGUCUGAUUUUCGUAGCAGCAACAAGUCACCACUACUGUUCAAGUCGUACCUUCCUGUUAGGUUUAACCCGUCACUCAGGUCUACAUAAGGAAAUGGAAAAGAAUGUUCAGUAGAAACAUGACAGAAAAAAUCUUGCAAAUACUGAAGAACUACCAGGUUGCGCCUUGUUGCUGCCGCUGCUCAAGUAACAGUUGCAAACCCACCCAGUAUGGGUUUGUACCUGCUUGUUGAUCCGAACUUACCAUUGAGGUCGUGCCUUGUUGCUGCUGCUGAUUAUGCUUUGAUGUGGAUAGCGCUGUGUGUGGAUGACAACAUUGCUAGAAAAGUUGUUGAGUGGACCACAAGGUGUCGGUAUUAAGAUGGUUUUCUGCUUUUAGUUUAUUUUUCUAUUAAAUUAAUUAUUCAAGUAGUGCAGAGCAAUGGGUGGUGUUUUUGUUAUGAACAUGCUUAUUUGAAAUAUAAUGAAGUUUUAUUUCUUUUA